AGAGUGCGUAAUAGCUCACUAGUCGAGUGAUGUUGCGCCGAAGAUUUAACGGGGCUAAGCAUAUAACCGAAGCUUAGGCAGUAUGUAAGUACUGGGUAGGGGAGCGUUCUGUGCGGGGUGAAGUCGUACCGGAAGGAGCGGUGGACUGCACAGAAGUGAGAAUGCCGGAAUGAGUAGCGAGAAUUGCGUGAGAAUCGUAAUGGCCGAAUAUCUAAGGUUUCCAGGGGUAGGUUCGUCCGCCCUGGGUAAGCCGGGAGCUAAGGCGAGGCCGAAAGGCGUAGUCGAUGCACAUACGGUGGAAAUUCCGUAGCCGCUAAAACUUUAAGUAUACUGACACAACAUAGGAGCCUGUCCCCGGGAUUGGAAGUCCGGGGCGAAAGGGACUGAAAUUAGAGUAGGGAAGCAGGCAAGUAUGGUGGCGAGAAAAGGUAUAUGUAUAGUUCAGGCGCCCGUACCGCAAACCGACACAGGUAGAUGAGGAGAGAAUCCUAAGGCCAACGGGAGAAGGGUUGUUAAGGAACUCGGCAUAUUGACCCCGUAACUUCGGAAGAAGGGGUGCUCCGCAAGGAGGCCGCAGUGAAAAGGCCCAGGCGACUGUUUAUCAAAAACACAGGUCUCUGCAAAACCGAAAGGUGAAGUAUAGGGGCUGACGCCUGCCCGGUGCUGGAAGGUCAAGGGGACUGCUUAGCGCAAGCGAAGGCAUGAACUUAAGCCCCAGUAAACGGCGGCCGUAACUAUAACGGUCCUAAGGUAGCGAAAUUCCUUGUCAGGUAAGUUCUGACCCGCACGAAAGGCGUAACGAUCUGGGCACUGUCUCAACAGCCCGCCCGGCGAAAUUGUAGUACCGGUGAAGAUGCCGGUUACCCGCGACUAGACGGAAAGACCCCAUGGAGCUUUACUGUAGCUUGAUACUGAGAUUCGGUGAAUUAUGCACAGGAUAGGUGGGAGACUGUGAAACAGGUGCUUCGGCGCUUGCGGAGUCGCUGUUGGGAUACCACUCUUGAUUCACUGGAUUUCUAACCUGCGGCCGUGAAUCCGGCCGGGGGACAAUGUCAGGUGGGCAGUUUGACUGGGGCGGUCGCCUCCAAAAGAGUAACGGAGGCGUUCAAAGGUCGGCUCAGCGCGGACGGAAAUCGCGCAUAGAGUGUAAACGCAUAAGCCGGCCUAACUGCGAGACAGACAAGUCGAGCAGUAACGAAAGUUGGAGUUAGUGAUCAGGUGGUAGUGAAUGGAAAUGCCAUCGCUUAACGGAUAAAAGCUACCCUGGGGAUAACAGGCUGAUCUCCCCCAAGAGUUCACAUCGACGGGGAGGUUUGGCACCUCGAUGUCGGCUCAUCACAUCCUGGGGCUUGGAGAAGGUCCCAAGGGUUCGGCUGUCCGCCGAUUAAAGUGGUACGCGAGCUGGGUUCAGAACGUCGUGAGACAGUUCGGUCCCUAUCUGUCGUGGGCGUUGGAUAUUUGAGAGGGGCUGACCUUAGUACGAGAGGACCGGGUCGGACGCACCUCCGGUGCACCAGUUGUUCCGCCAGGGGCAUAGCUGGGUAGCCGCGUGCGGGAGUGAUAAACGCUGAAGGCAUCUAAGCGUGAAACAUGCUUCAAGAUUAGAUAUCCCACAACUUCAAGUUGGUAAGGUCACUUGCAGACUACAAGUUUGAUAGGUCAGAGGUGGAAGCGCAGUAAUGCGUGCAGCUGACUGAUACUAAUAGACCGAGGGCUUGAACC
rnacentral:rRNA from 1 species